rnacentral:rRNA from 1 species
UACGUAGGGUGCGAGCGUUAAUCGGAAUUACUGGGCGUAAAGCGUGCGCAGGCGGUUUUGUAAGCCAGAUGUGAAAUCCCCGGGCUCAACCUGGGAAUGGCAUUUGGGACUGCAAGGCUUGAGUGCGGCAGAGGAGACUGGAAUUCCUGGUGUAGCGGUGGAAUGCGCAGAUAUCAGGAGGAACACCGGUGGCGAAGGCGGGACUCUGGGCCGAUACUGACGCUGAGGAGCGAAAGCGUGGGGAGCGAACAGG